GACGAACGCUGGCGGUGUGCCUAACACAUGCAAGUCAAGGGGAAAGGCGGACUUCGGUUUGCCGAGUAUACUGGCGGACGGGUGAGUAACGCGUAGGCAACCUGCCCCUAUGUCUGGGAUAACCUCAAGAAAUCGGGGCUAAUACCGGAUAAGGUUAUUGUAACGCAUGUUAUGAUAAUCAAAGGUGCUGCAAGGUACUGCAUAGGGAUGGGCCUGCGUUCCAUUAGCUAGAUGGUGAGGUAACGGCUCACCAUGGCGACGAUGGAUAGCUGAUCUGAGAGGAUGAUCACCCACACUGGGAUUGAGAUACGGCCCACACUCCUACGGGAGGCAGCAGUGAGGAAUAUUGCGCAGUGGGGGCAACCCUGACGCAGCAACGCCGCGUGGGGGAAGAAUCUCUAUGGAGUGUAAACCUCUGUAGGAAGAGAAGAAAGGUAUGGCUUCGUAAGGGGUCAUAUUUGACGGUACCUACAAAGUAAGCUCCGGCUAACUCCGUGCCAGCAGCCGCGGUAAUACGGGGGGGAGCAAGCGUUGUCCGGAAUCACUGGGCGUAAAGGGCGUGUACGCGGUCUGG
rnacentral:rRNA from 1 species